rnacentral:rRNA from 1 species
UACGAAGGGGGCUAGCGUUGCUCGGAAUCACUGGGCGUAAAGCGCACGUAGGCGGAUUGCUAAGUCAGGGGUGAAAUCCUGGAGCUCAACUCCAGAACUGCCCUUUGAUACUGGCGAUCCUUCGAGUCCGGGAGAGGUGAGUGGAACUGCGAGUGUAGAGGUGAAAUUCGUAGAUAUUCGCAAGAACACCAGUGGCGAAGGCGGCUCACUGGCCCGGUACUGACGCUGAGGUGCGAAAGCGUGGGGAGCAAACAGG